AGAUCAGGGACUCACGGGAAGAUAUCACAACACAACUCUAGACACAAAUCAAAAUAAUACAAGCUUCAUAUUACAAGCCAGGGGCCUCGAGGGCUCGAAUACAUAGCUCGAUAAAUAAGCGAGUCAGCGGAAGCAACAAUAUCUGAGUACAGACAUAAGUUGAAACAAGUUUUGCCUUAAGAAGGCUAGCACAAACAUCAACGAUCGAAGAGGCAAUGCCUCCUGCCUAGGACCUCCUAACUACUCCUAGUCGUCGGUGGGCUCCAGGUAGUAGUAGGCACCCUCGGGGUAGUAGCAGUAGUCGUCGGGGGUGCCAUCUAACUCCUGGGGGCCACCAUCUGGUUGCAUCAACUGGAAAGGAGAAUGAAGGGGGAAAAGGGGGAGCAAAGCAACCGUGAGUACUCAUCCAAAGUACUCGCAAGCAUCAGAUCUAUACUAAGUAUGCAUUGGUAUCAAAUGGAAGGGCUAUAUCUGUGGACUGAACUGCAGAAUGCCAGAAUAGAGGGGAAGGCCUAGCCUAUCGAAGACUAGCGUCUUCAAGCAGCUCCGAGCAUCUUGCAGAAUGUAGAAGAGUAAAGAAUAGCAGUUUAAUUAACAAGCAUGUUGUAACAUUAAAGCCCAGAGAUCCUUCCUCGACUCCCUGUGAGAAAGCAAUCCCGGAGCCAACAUAUCCAUCACAUAUCAAGUAUCCAUUUCUAGUUCUAUAAGAUCAGGAUACAAGUCUGAACCUCCAUUACCGUGGACACGGUAUUCGAAUAUAUAUCUUCCCUGCAGGGGUGCACCACGUUACCCAACACGCUCGAUCACUCUGGCCGGACACACCUUUUUGGGGUCAAUGCCCGGCCUCGGAAGAUCAACACGUCGCAGCCCUACCUAGGCUCAGCAGAGAGGUCCCCGCCGGUCUACAUCCUAAGCACACCAGGGUCUUGGGCCCAUCGCCCGCAGCACUUCGGGUCGUUGUGUGCAGGGUGGAUACCAGCACCGCCUCGGAUGGCCAGCACGAUCCGACCGUGCCACAAUGCUGAACUGGACGUCUGACAAAGCUUCGGCUGAUACUACGACGUCGAGGCCCAUAACUAUUCUCACGUGGUGGUAAGUGCGUAAAGGCCAGAGGCCAACUCAGAACAAAUACCCAAACCAGUUAGUGCAUUAUUAAAAGAAGUGACGGCUGUCAGGACAAGUCCGGAGCUAUCACCCCCUCCUGGGUGAUACCGCUAAACAGCCAGCCGCCACCGUCACAUCGCACGGGUGCUCUCCGGGCCCGCCCGGCUUUCACCAAUGUCUCAAGUAAAGUCAAGGUAACCGUGUGUCCAAACAUCAAGGGGAAACCCGAGGAAUCACCCCCGGUGGAUUCCACUCGAUGUAAUCAUCAAGGUGAACGUAAGAGGGACCACCCUCGAGGUUCACACUUGAGGUGUUGCACGACAGAGCCGUAUCGGGAAUGGUGAAAGAGUAAAUCACCCUUGAUGACCAUGACUGAAUAGCUACACUAAAGAAUUAUCAUCAGGAGUGCGUUAUGAGGGAUCACCCUCGGCACUCGAUAGUAGCUCUGCAGAGUCGAGCAAAAAAGGGGCGUGAUGUGAUGUGAGGUGUCGUGCUCUGGUCGUCGAUCACGUUGAUCGAGUCGUCGAUGAUGAAGCAGGGGCAACAAGGACAAGGUGGAGGUCACUGAUGGAUCACUAUCCAACCUAUACUAAGCAGUUUUAGGAUAAGCAGGUAGGUAACAAUAGCAGGUACAAAAGCAGGCUAUGCAUCAGAAUAGGAGCAAUCAAUAACAGUAGCAAAAUCUAAUGCAAGCAUGAGAGAAUGAAAUGGGUGAUAUCGGGAUGAUCAAAGGGGGGGCUUGCCUGGAAGCUCCACUGAAAGGGAAGAAGGGUCGUCGUCGACGUAGUCGAUCACAGGGGCAUCAGCAGCGGUCUCGGGGUCUACCGGAGAGAAGAGGGGGCAGAAACAGUAAAUAUAAUGCAAACAAAUGCAACACAGAUGCAUGUCGGGGGGUAACACGCAGGGCUAGGGGUGUUCUAACACGGUGCUACACGAUACCGGCGAAGGGGGAAACAUCCGGAAAGUUUUCCCGAAGUUUGGUAUUUUCGAACAAAUGAAACGGAGGGGAAAAGUUGCAUGUUCGCUAUGCUAGGGGCAUGUGGCAGACGAACGGACCACAUAUCCGGAUUCAUCAUAUUUUUCUGAGCAACUUUCAUGUAUAAAACUUUUUCAUCCGAGUUACGGAUUAAUUAUAUGAUUUUUUAAAGUUUAAACGUUAUUCUGAAAUUUCAUAUUAAUUCGAAAAAUAAUGAUUAAAACGCUAUGGGCACCCAGCAUAGGGUGCACAAAAUUGCACCCAGUGGCUCACAGGUGGGCCAGGGGAUCCCAGUUGACCAGACAACGUUUGACUGGUCAACAGGGUGUGGGCCCCCCCUGUCAUACUCACAUGUAACUAAUUAGGGAUUAGUUAUGAUAACUAAGUAAUUAGCUUAAUUAAACCAUUUUAAUUAAGUUAAUUUAUUAAAUAAUUAAUUAUAAUUAUUAUAUAUAUAUAUAUUUACACACAUUUUUUUAAGAAAAGGGGGCCGGUGGGUCCCGUAUGCCAGUGGCACAAGGCUUACUAGCCGGGGCGAGUUAACGGGCGGGCGCCCGUGCCCCAGGGGCGCUACGCCCGGGCGAGGCCACCGGCCGACGAAGCGGGGGGGCAAGGGCCACGGCGGGCGGGCCGGUAGCCCCGGUCGGCGGGACGGGGCGCAGAGGAGCAUGGGGCGGGGCGGAGCCGUGGGGUGGCUGCGGGGAGGCAAGCGUGGUGGUCGGCGCGGCGCAGGCGGCGCAGCGGCCGUGCAGCCCGAGGCACGACGAGGGCGGCCAGUGAACGGGAGGGCGCCGGCAGGAGCGGCAGGGCUGCACGGGCGAUGACGGCACGGGCGGAUGGGAGUGGCGAGGAGCUGGCCAAGGCGCGCGAGGGAAGGCGAGGCCGUGCGUGGGUAAGGACGAGCGGCUGCGGGCGUGCUCGGCGAGCGCGAGACGCAGCGGCAGGGCGGUAGGGCGCGCGAGGCGGAUGCAGGAGCAGCAGGCAACAGCAAAUAGGCGGCGGCGGAAGGAGUAGCAGCACGCAGUAGUGGAAGACGACGGGCGCGGCGGCUUUAGCUGCAACAACAACAGCAGUGGCGAUGCGGCCGCAGGUGAGCGGGGAGGACGGAGAGGUCCGGGUGCGUCGGCGGUGACGUCCUAUGACGACGGAAAGAAAGGGAUAAGGGGGAAUGGACGGCGGCUCACAGUGAGGCUCACGGUGGCCGUUGACAGCUUAGAAGCGCAGAGGGCGGUGGCCGGAGUCGAAGGCGAUCGUGGCGACCCGAGGAAGAAGACGAUGCAGGGCUCGAUGCAGGGGUCCUAGCUCCAAGGGGUGGUCGGGGACGAUGUUGGAAAUGACGGCGUAUCUCCCCGCUGUGGUCUCAGGCGAGGGAGAGCUUGGUAGCCGCGUCCAUGGCGAGGAAACGGCGACGGAUGCGCUCGGUGAGGGCGAAGAGCAGCGUCGAUGGUGUGGAUCUGGUGAGAGAACACCAGACAGAGGAGGGAGUGGAUGAGAGCGGAGGA
rnacentral:lncRNA from 1 species